AGCCAAUGAUUGCAAGAAAGGAAAAUAAAAUUGACUUUCAAAACCGAUUUUCAGAGAGUAAAAAAUAUAUUCAAAAUAUUGCUGAUGUGUCGCUUAUGAUGGCAAACAUUUCCCAGUUGCGAGCAGUUCUGGGCUUUGGGGAGAGUAAUACUUUUUAUAUUCAUCUCCUUACACUAAUUAGUGUUUCACUAGUGUCACAUACACUUUUCGUUUUUGUCAGUGUUAUCAGAGGUCAUUAUAUCAAAAAGCAUCACACUGCCUUGGUUCGAGCACAAAGGAACCGAGAAAAAACACCUGCAUUUUUUACUAACGUAUCGACACCAUCACCUAUUAAUGGCGAAUCCACUCUAAUAAGUGAUCAUGAUAACAACCUAGCUAGUAAACAAGGAACCGUUAUCUCCAAUACGGAAACAAAUGAACCAGCACCUGAACAAGAUACCAGUUCAAAAAACGCUCCCAAAACAGUAAGGUUUUGCUGUUGCUGUACAAAGCAAGACAGACCCGAUGAAUACGACGACAGUGAUAACUGCCAGUGUCCACAUUGUCAUACCGAUCUAUAUCUGGGCUAUUUCUGUAAUAUCCUCGUUUUCAUAACAAUUUGUGCAAAUAUUGGCAUUACUGGGAUUGGAAUAAUAGGAGAUUGUAAGCCUAAUGCAUGAUAAUCUAUUUAAAAAUAAUAACAUACAAUUAUUGGAUUCACAAGAAGAAGAAUUUUCAUUAAUAUAGGACAGUAUGCAACUCGAUAUAUAUUCUAUGUAUACACACUCCAAAAAUGUUAUAUUUUUUUCUUCUUCCCUGACCAGGAUUCAAACUCAUGCUACUGUGAUAUCGCGGCACCAAAUCGCCUUGAACUAUGCCCGACGCGCUUGACCAGCCGAGCACCUAGGCUCUAUACAAAUAAAGCUUUCGAUGGCAGGGUGUUACCUUUCCUCGUCAUUUAAUCUAGUACAUGAUAUAUAAGGCACGAAGAUAGAAUUGUUGCAGAUCAGUAAAAGAGAUAAUUGCAUUUGAUCAUGAUUUACCAAUAUUCAUGUUAUUCAUGUAAUUCAAACUUAAAUAUACAAAUGGAUAUAAAACCUUUACUUGUUCCAUAAGCAUUAUUUAGUGUUUUAAUUUUAUUCAAAUUCCAUUAAAUGUAUCCAAACC
rnacentral:lncRNA from 1 species